GCAAGUCGACUGGAAUUCUCUUCGGAGUUAGUACGGUGGCGGACGGGUGAGUAACGCGUAAAGAAUUUGCCCUCUAGACUGGGACAACUAACCGAAAGGUUAGCUAAUACCGGAUAUUAUGAGACCUUGGCAUCAAGGACUUAUGAAAGCUAUAUGCGCUAGAGGAGAACUUUGCGUCCCAUUAGCUAGUUGGUAGGGUAAUGGCCUACCAAGGCUUACGGGUAGCCGGCCUGAGAGGGUGAUC
rnacentral:rRNA from 1 species